CUAGUUUCACGGUUCGUUUAAAACAUGCACGUCGCUGCCACUUCUGUGCAGACAAAUUUUUCAUUUGAUUAUAACAAUGUAAAUGAUCUGCAGAUUGUAAAGUGCACGAUUAGUUAUGUAUUGUUAGCAAUAGUUUACCCACGCGAGAUUCUUAUAUUGUUGGCAGUGAUCAGGGUCUGGUCCAGGACUUUUGAAAGGGGG
rnacentral:lncRNA from 1 species